AAGUCGUAACAAGGUUUCCGUAGGUGAACCUGCGGAAGGAUCAUUAACGUAUCUCUGGCGGGCGCCCCCUGCCCUGCUCCGGCCUCUUUGGCCGUGCAGCGGGCCGGUCGGCUCCGUCCAACCUUCACAAACCCACCGUGCACACUUGCGGCGGAAGGGCGUCCUCUGCGGCGCCUGGAAGCCGCCUCUAACAAACCCCUAACAUAUCGAAUGAUCAGCGGCCUCUGUGUCGUCUAAAUUUGAAACAACUUUCAACAACGGAUCUCUUGGCUCUC
rnacentral:misc_RNA from 1 species